rnacentral:rRNA from 1 species
UACGUAGGGGGCAAGCGUUGUCCGGAUUUAUUGGGCGUAAAGAGCGUGUAGGCGGCUUUACAGGUCCGCUGUGAAAACUCGAGGCUCAACCUCGAGCUGUCGGUGGAAACCGUAGGGCUAGAGUCCGGAAGAGGAGAGUGGAAUUCCCGGUGAUAGCGGUGAAAUGCGCAGAUAUCGGGAAGAACACCCGUGGCCGAAGGCGGCUCUCUGGGACGGUACUGACGCUGAGACGGCGAAAGCGUGGGGAGCCGAACAGG